GGGAGAGAGGGAGAGAGAGAGAGGGAGAGAUGAGGGAGAAAAGGAGACAGACAGGAAGAUAAAGAGAGAGAGAGAGAGGCUUUAAGACCAGUAGUUAUGAUGGGCUGUUAGGCAGUGUAAUGAAACAGCUGUCAGACAUAUUUAACUUUCUCUCUCUCUCUCUCUCUCAUCAUCUGUCUCCUCUCCUUUAACUCGCCCUCUGCCUUUAUCUCACCUCGCUCUUUCUUCCCCUCUUUCUUGUCUUUAACUCAAACACUCCUUUCCCCUAUUUCAUCACACCAACCACUUUUCUCUCUUUUUCAUCUCCUCUCUUACGCCUCCUCUAGAGUCUCUCUGUCCAUCCUUCUCCC